rnacentral:rRNA from 2 species
AGAGUUUGAUCCUGGCUCAGGAUGAACGCUGGCGGCGUGCUUAACACAUGCAAGUCGAACGAUGAAGCCCAGCUUGCUGGGUGGAUUAGUGGCGAACGGGUGAGUAACACGUGAGUAACCUGCCCUUAACUCUGGGAUAAGCCUGGGAAACUGGGUCUAAUACCGGAUAGGAGCGUCCACCGCAUGGUGGGUGUUGGAAAGAUUUAUCGGUUUUGGAUGGACUCGCGGCCUAUCAGCUUGUUGGUGAGGUAAUGGCUCACCAAGGCGACGACGGGUAGCCGGCCUGAGAGGGUGACCGGCCACACUGGGACUGAGACACGGCCCAGACUCCUACGGGAGGCAGCAGUGGGGAAUAUUGCACAAUGGGCGCAAGCCUGAUGCAGCGACGCCGCGUGAGGGAUGACGGCCUUCGGGUUGUAAACCUCUUUCAGUAGGGAAGAAGCGAAAGUGACGGUACCUGCAGAAGAAGCACCGGCUAACUACGUGCCAGCAGCCGCGGUAAU